rnacentral:tRNA from 1 species
GGCAAGGUGGCCUAGUGGUUAGGGAAUACUGCUUGGGACUGGAAGGUCCCUGGUUCUAAUCCCCCCACCA